rnacentral:sRNA from 1 species
UGACCACCCAGUCGAUUGGGUUAAGGCCAUACGGACAGCCGGGUCAACUGCCGA